rnacentral:rRNA from 1 species
AAAAUAGAAGGGCUGCGAUCUCCAGGAAAUAACUUAUAAUAUUUAAGGCCGUACCGGAAACCGACACAGGUGGAUUGGUAGAGUAUACUAAAGCGUAGGGAUAAUAGUGUUGAAGGAACUCGGCAAAUUGCCCUCGUAACUUCGGGAAAAGAGGGACUUUUUGGUGGGCAACCAUUAGAAAGUGGCACAGAAAUGGGAACGGCGACUGUUUAGCAAAAACACAGGGCUAUGCGAACUCGAGAGAGGAAGUAUAUAGCCUGACGCCUGCCCGGUGCUAGAAGGUUAA